rnacentral:rRNA from 2 species
GUUAUACUGUCUCCUUUCUUCUAAUCAGUGAAACUAAUCUCCCCGUGAACAAAACCUCCACAAUGAAUGGGACUACCCCCUCAUCUAAGGGCUACACCUCAAAGAAUUAAAACAUUAACAUAACAUGAUCCAUUUUUGAUCAAUGAACCAAGUUACCCUGGGGAUAACAGCGCAAUCCAUUUCAAGAGCCCCUAUCGACAAAUGGGUUUACGACCUCGAUGUUGGAUCAGGGUGUCCUAGUGGUGCAGCAGCUACUAACGGUUCGUUUGUUCAACGAUCAAAACCCUACGUGAUCU